rnacentral:rRNA from 1 species
AAGUUCCGGCCUGCACGAAUGGCAUAACGACUUGACAGCUGUCUCAACGAGGGACUCGAUGAAAUUGCA